rnacentral:rRNA from 1 species
AGCUUGCUCUUUUGCUGACGAGUGGCGCACGGGUGCGUAACGCGUAUACAACCUACCUUUUACAGUGGGAUAGCCUUUGGAAACGAAGAUUAAUACCGCAUAGUAUCUGGAUAUCGCAUGGUAUCCGGAUUAAAAUUUCGGUGGUAAAAGAUGGGUAUGCGUUCUAUUAGCUAGAUGGUGUGGUAACGGCACACCAUGGCGACGAUAGAUAGGGGCCCUGAGAGGGGGAUCCCCCACACUGGUACUGAGACACGGACCAGACUCCUACGGGAGGCAGCAGUGAGGAAUAUUGGACAAUGGGCGAUAGCCUGAUCCAGCCAUGCCGCGUGCAGGAAGACUGCCCUAUGGGUUGUAAACUGCUUUUGUACGGGAAGAAACCCAGCUACGUGUAGCUGGCUGACGGUACCGUAAGAAUAAGCAUCGGCUAACUCCGUGCCAGCAGCCGCGGUAAUACGGAGGAUGCAAGCGUUAUCCGGAAUCAUUGGGUUUAAAGGGUCCGUAGGUGGACGGUUAAGUCAGAGGUGAAAUCCUGCAGCUCAACUGUAGAACUGCCUUUGAUACUGGUCGUCUUGAAUUAUUGUGAAGUGGUUAGAAUAUGUAGUGUAGCGGUGAAAUGCAUAGAUAUUACAUAGAAUACCGAUUGCGAAGGCAGAUCACUAACAAUAUAUUGACACUGAUGGACGAAAGCGUGGGGAGCGAACAGGAUUAGAUACCCUGGUAGUCCACGCCGUAAACGAUGGUCACUAGCUGUUCGGACUUCGGUCUGAGUGGCUAAGCGAAAGUGAUAAGUGACCCACCUGGGGAGUACGUUCGCAAGANUGAAACUCAAAGGAAUUGACGGGGGCCCGCAC